ensembl:snRNA U1 U1 spliceosomal RNA
AUACUUACCUGGCAGGGGAGACACCAUAAUCAGGAAGUGCAUUUUCCCAGGGUGUGGCUCAUCCAUUGCACUUGGGAGGUACUGACCCCUGUGAUUUCCCUAAAUGGGGAAACUAGACUGCAUAAUUUGUGGUAGUGGGGGACUGAUUUCAUGCUCUUCCCUA